AGCAGUGGUCACGGCCGGAAAAUACGAACUUCCGAAAAAAUAUUCUGCUUGCUUUUGCAGUGCUCGUCCUCUAUACCUGCAAGCCACGCAUGGUCACUUCGGCCCACGUGAUGUGUCUGCCUCCUCUGCAUCGUAUUCGUCAUCCAGCUUCGUGCAUCACCGGGGCAAGCUGGCUGCGUGGACCACCUGAGUGGAUAUCCUCGUCUGCGCACCUUCCUGAUCGUGACGUCGCGCUCUUGUUGUGCUCGUCCUAUAUACCUGCAAGCCACGCAUGGUCACUUCGGCCCACGUGAUGUGUCUGCCUCCUCUGCAUCGUAUUCGUCAUCCAGCUUCGUGCAUCACCGGGGCAAGCUGGCUGCGUGGACCACCUGAGUGGAUAUCCUCGUCUGCGCACCUUCCUGAUCGUGACGUCGCGCUCUUGUUGGUAUAAGAAGAACGGUAGAAUUGACUUGGCAUCAUUUGGCAGCAGUGGUCACGGCUGGAAACUACGAACUUCAGGAAAAAUAUUCUGCUUGCUUUUGCAGUGCUCGUCCUAUAUACCUGCAAGCCACGCAUGGUCACUUCGGCCCACGUGAUGUGUCUGCCUCCUCUGCAUCGUAUUCGUCAUCCAGCUUCGUGCAUCACCGGGGCAAGCUGGCUGCGUGGACCACCUGAGUGGAUAUCCUCGUCUGCGCACCUUCCUGAUCGUGACGUCGCGCUCUUGUUGGUAUAAGAAGAACGGUAGAAUUGACUUGGCAUCAUUUGGCAGCAGUGGUCACGGCUGGAAACUACGAACUUGAGGAAAAAUAUUCUGCUUGCUUUUGCAGUGCUCGUCCUAUAUACCUGCAAGCCACGCAUGGUCACUUCGGCCCACGUGAUGUGUCUGCCUCCUCUGCAUCGUAUUCGUCAUCCAGCUUCGUGCAUCACCGGGGCAAGCUGGCUGCGUGGACCACCUGAGUGGAUAUCCUCGUCUGCGCACCUUCCUGAUCGUGACGUCGCGCUCUUGUUGGUAUAAGAAGAACGGUAGAAUUGACUUGGCAUCAUUUGGCAGCAGUGGUCACGGCUGGAAACUACGAACUUCAGGAAAAAUAUUCUGCUUGCUUUUGCAGUGCUCGUCCUAUAUACCUGCAAGCCACGCAUGGUCACUUCGGCCCACGUGAUGUGUCUGCCUCCUCUGCAUCGUAUUCGUCAUCCAGCUUCGUGCAUCACCGGGGCAAGCUGGCUGCGUGGACCACCUGAGUGGAUAUCCUCGUCUGCGCACCUUCCUGAUCGUGACGUCGCGCUCUUGUUGGUAUAAGAAGAACGGUAGAAUUGACUUGGCAUCAUUUGGCAGCAGUGGUCACGGCUGGAAACUACGAACUUCAGGAAAAAUAUUCUGCUUGCUUUUGCAGUGCUCGUCCUAUAUACCUGCAAGCCACGCAUGGUCACUUCGGCCCACGUGAUGUGUCUGCCUCCUCUGCAUCGUAUUCGUCAUCCAGCUUCGUGCAUCACCGGGGCAAGCUGGCUGCGUGGACCACCUGAGUGGAUAUCCUCGUCUGCGCACCUUCCUGAUCGUGACGUCGCGCUCUUGUUGGUAUAAGAAGAACGGUAGAAUUGACUUGGCAUCAUUUGGCAGCAGUGGUCACGGCCGGAAACUACGAACUUGAGGAAAAAUAUUCUGCUUGCUUUUGCAGUGCUCGUCCUAUAUACCUGCAAGCCACGCAUGGUCACUUCGGCCCACGUGAUGUGUCUGCCUCCUCUGCAUCGUAUUCGUCAUCCAGCUUCGUGCAUCACCGGGGCAAGCUGGCUGCGUGGACCACCUGAGUGGAUAUCCUCGUCUGCGCACCUUCCUGAUCGUGACGUCGCGCUCUUGUUGGUAUACGAAGAACGGUAGAAUUGACUUGGCAUCAUUUGGCAGCAGUGGUCACGGCCGGAAACUACGAACAUUUACGGCAUUUGCUCUGUGGUGGUGGCAACGGACGGAACGGCUGUACAGUGAUCGCUAUCCUCUGCUUUCGCAGUUACUGCGUUGGAACACUUCACUGUCUUCAAAAUCACCGCUUGCUUGCUGCAACUUCCCGAUAGCGGCCGCUACCACGUGUCAGCUACAGCUCUACGUCAUGAGCCACGUCGCCGCCGCGCUGACUUAGAGACGACGGCAAGCCUUCGACGAGCGCAUUUGCUCAGUGGUGGUGGCAACGGACGGAACGGCUCUACAGUGAUCGCUAUCCUCUGCUUUUGCAGGUUGGUUUAAUUUCUCACUACAUUAACGUGCUAUAUUGGUUCUGCCACCACCACUGCUGCGUAUACUUCCUUUACAUUUGGGCGCUGAAGUGCUUUGUAGCUUCUGCUCUUUGAACCGAAAUGUCGGAGUUGUGCUUGGUCUGUAAUGAGCUGCUCCCUGAUAAUUGUGUGAAUCCUACGUGUUCUGAAUGUAACUACAGCUACCAUUUGGGAACAUGCUCGGGCAUAAGCAAACUUGCCCGUAUCUCGAACUGGGGUCCGUCGACCUCACAGCUGUCGAGUCGGCGGUAUCGUUCUGCAUUAGGAGAGUGAGUGGUACACACAACGAUGACGUAUUGCUGCAUAUUUGGGCAGUGUCUUCUGUGGCGUCUUGUGGAUAUACGUUUGCUGCCCUAUUGAGCGCAACGACUAUUGCAACGUUCAAGCCGCCCCGUGGCCUGAUAACUACUUUGUGGUGAUAACGUGGAAGGGUGGGCACCUUCCCUGCCUUAAGAACUUGCUGCUUGUGAGCGCGCGGGCCUCGCUGCGCCUUGCUCAUGCCUCCAACGCCGGUUUGGGAGACUGAUGCAGUUUUAGGGUUAGCGCGCUUGCCCCAAGGAGAAAUUCACUCGCGCGGGCCAAUGGUGCACCAUCCUGCUUCUUCGGAAAUCUCGGUGGGUGAGAUAUCAGUUCCUUCAACUUGUAUUUCCAUGGCGGCUUGAAGAAAGUUGACGCGCAGCCGUAACUGCGGCUCACGUAUACCGGCCGGAGCACUAAGCUUAGCAGUAAGCUUAGCUCGGCGGCGCAGCGGCUCGGCAGAAAUGGUCCAAUAAAGAGGUGAAAAAGCAGUUCCCACCUUGAAGACGAAUAUCGGUAGAGUCAGGAUAACUUGCGGGAGAUGAUGGUGCAAAAUUAGAGAUAUUUUGCAAAAACACUUCGAAAUCAUUUACGAAAGAUGGAGCCGACGUGAAGUGCAUCCGCGCCCUUCGGCUUCUUCUUCUCAGUCUUGACUGUGUAUUACUUUACA